GGUCCAUUCGUCUAGGGGUUAGGACGUCAGGUUUUCAUCCUGGAAACAGCGGUUCGAUUCCGCUAUGGACUA
rnacentral:tRNA from 1 species